rnacentral:rRNA from 1 species
GAUGAACGCUGGCGGUGUGCCUAAUACAUGCAAGUCGAGCGAAAAGGCCCGGAGUUUGCGCCUCUGACGUUAGCGGAGGGCGGGUGAGUAACACGUGGAACACCUACCUGUAAGACUGGGAAAAUUUCGGGAAACCGGCGAUAAUCGCGGAUAACAUGUUGCAGCGCGUGGUGCCACAGAGAAAGACGGUCUUGCUGGCACUUCUAGAUGGAUCCGCGUCGGAUGAGCGAGUUGGGAAGGUCACGGCUUUCGAAGGCAACGAUGCGUAGACGAACGGAUAGGCGGAUCGGCCACACUGGAACGUAGACGCCGUCCAGACUCCUACGGGAGGCAGCAGUAGGGAAUCGGCGGCAGUGGUCGAAAGUCUUACGGAGCAACGCCGCGUCAGAGGAGAAGGUCUCCGGAUCGUAAAACUCUGUUACUAGGGAAGAACAAAUGUGUAAGUAACUAUGCCCGUCUUGACGGUACCUAAUCAGAAAGCCACGGCUAACUACGUG